UGCAGUCGACGGCAGCACGGACUUCGGUCUGGUGGCGAGUGGCGAACGGGUGAGUAAUGUAUCGGAACGUGCCUAGUAGCGGGGGAUAACUACGCGAAAGCGUAGCUAAUACCGCAUACGCCCUACGGGGGAAAGCAGGGGAUCGCAAGACCUUGCACUAUUAGAGCGGCCGAUAUCGGAUUAGCUAGUUGGUGGGGUAACGGCUCACCAAGGCGACGAUCCGUAGCUGGUUUGAGAGGACGACCAGCCACACUGGGACUGAGACACGGCCCAGACUCCUACGGGAGGCAGCAGUGGGGAAUUUUGGACAAUGGGGGCAACCCUGAUCCAGCAAUGCCGCGUGUGCGAAGAAGGCCUUCGGGUUGUAAAGCACUUUUGUUCGGGAAGAAAGCGCCUGGGUGAAUAUCCUGGGUGGAUGACGGUACCGGAAGAAUCAGCACCGGCUAACUACGUGCCAGCAGCCGCGGUAAUACGUAGGGUGCAAGCGUUAAUCGGAAUUACUGGGCGUAAAGCGUGCGCAGGCGGUUCGCUAAGACAGAUGUGAAAUCCCCGGGCUUAACCUGAACUGCAUUUGUGACUGGCGGGCUAGAGUAUGGCAGAGGGGGGUAGAAUUC
rnacentral:rRNA from 1 species